UACGGAGGAUGCUAGCGUUAUCCGGAAUGAUUGGGCGUAAAGCGUCCGCAGGUGGCGAUGUCAGUCUGCUGUUAAAGAGUCUAGCUCAACUAGAUAAGAGCAGUGGAAACUACAUAGCUAGAGUACGUUCGGGGCAGAGGGAAUUCCUGGUGUAGCGGUGAAAUGCGUAGAGAUCAGGAAGAACACCAGUGGCGAAGGCGCUCUGCUAGGCCGUAACUGACACUGAGGGACGAAAGCUAGGGGAGCGAACGGG
rnacentral:rRNA from 1 species